UACGUAGGGUGCAAGCGUUGUCCGGAAUUAUUGGGCGUAAAGAGCUUGUAGGCGGUUUGUCGCGUCUGCUGUGAAAUUUCGGGGCUCAACCCCGAACUUGCAGUGGGUACGGGCAGACUAGAGUGUGGUAGGGGAGACUGGAAUUCCUGGUGUAGCGGUGAAAUGCGCAGAUAUCAGGGGGAACACCAACAGCGAAGGCAGCACUCUGGGCCGGUACUGACGCUGAGGAGCGAAAGCAUGGGGAGCGAACAGG
rnacentral:rRNA from 1 species